rnacentral:rRNA from 1 species
GAGNNUUUGCGCAUACGGGNAAACCCUGNCGCACAACGCCGCGUGGGUGAUGAAGGCCUUCGGGUCGUAAAGCCCUGUCAGGUGGGAAGAAACCCAUCGGUGCAAACAGCACCGGUGAUUGACGGUACCACCGGAGGAAGCACCGGCUAACUCCGUGCCAGCAGCCGCGGUAAUACGGAGGGUGCAAGCGUUGUUCGGAAUUACUGGGCGUAAAGCGCGUGUAGGCGGUUGGGUAAGUCAGAUGUGAAAGCCCCCGGCUUAACCGGGGAACGGCAUUUGAAACUGCCUGGCUGGAGUUCGGGAGAGGAGAGUGGAAUUCCUGGUGUAGAGGUGAAAUUCGUAGAUAUCAGGAGGAACACCGGUGGCGAAGGCGGCUCUCUGGCCCGAUACUGACGCUGAGACGCGAAAGCGUGGGGAGCAAACAGGAUUAGAUACCCUGGUAGUCCACGCCGUAAACGAUGGGCACUAGGUGUGGGAGGUAUUGACCCCUUCCGUGCCGAAGCUAACGCAUUAAGUGCCCCGCCUGGGGAGUACGACCGCAAGGUUAAAACUCAAAAAAAUUGACGGA